AUUUGAAAAAGGCAUUGAUAGCAUGUUUUAUUGUUUGGUUGAUCCAUGUCCAGGGCACCAUACAACAGAUGACCUUCAUAAUGGGUGAUCCUACAGCAGCCAGACAGCACUGUCAAGACUACAACUCCACCUGCAUCCCUCACACAGACAAACAGGAGAAAGUGAUUUUAGCUGCUGAGAAGGUGCUUGAUCGAGUUGCGACCAGGGCAACAUUCAGAGAAGAGUCUCAUGGACCCAGGCUGAGAGAUCAGACUGCAGAGCAGGACACAGCCAAGAACACUAACCUAUCAGCACAGUCAUUGCCAUCUGUAAGAGCUCAGUCAGUGCCAGAGACACAGAGAAAGACAAGGAUAACACCUGAAACAGACAAAUUAAAGCUCACUCAGAAGAUAGGAUGGCUGAAUGAAACUUCCACACUGCAGGAUGAUAAAGCAGCAAAGAUCACUAGAAACAGAACAGUAUAUUCACAAACCGCUGGAUCUCUUCAUCAGCCAAACCAAACCAAUACAGCCAGAGAUGUCUCUGGCAUGAAAGGUGUAGUAGUACCAUCUCAGACAGUGGAGACAGCCAUUCUCAGUCCCACUGCAUGGUCAGAAAACCCCACUGAACCAGCCCUGCUGAUCCAGGAGUCAGACAGUGAUGGAGAAUCAAUAGGCUCAGGGAGAAAUACAUCAGUGAGGUUAGAUGAUUUACAGAUCCCACCUGAACCCAAACAGGGCUUUGGGCCUACAAGACAAACAUGGUCCUUAGAACACACCAUAAAACCCAACCUUUUGGAAUUCAAGAAAAUAGAUGCGGAGGAGCUACUGAGGCAGGCUGUGAUUCCUCUGCCUCCAGUGCUACCUCCAAAUAAUAGCACUGUCACAGGGAGAAAGACAGCACUGGAGGCAGAGGAGCCUCUGGGACAAUCUCCAACACAUCAAAACACCACUGAUAUCACUUCCACAUCAACAGGUGACAAAGCUUCAAAGAGACAAAGGGGCCAAAAGACUGUGACAAAGACUUUGACAGAUUCUGGACAAGUCAUGGAGAAGGGGGAUACAGUUUUAUCCCAGGAGCCACCCACAGAGGAUCUAGAGACAGACACAGAAACAAAGACAGAGUUCGAGUCCGCAGAAGAGAUGGACACAGAAACAGAAAUGGAAGAAGUUGAUGAGGACAAUGAUAAGGAAUCAGAGACAGAGGAAACAGAUGUAGGCGACAGCAAGUUGGCACACGACAUCACUCAAGUCAACACAAGGCAGUUUAAAAAUAAUGGGGGAGCCAUCAAAACUGAUGUUCUAACUGAGCUCAUGUCCCCGGAGCCGAGAGUAUUAGAGCGGGAACUUCCGCCUACCCCUCUGCCUCCUGCCAGUGUGCCAGGUAAAGUACACAGCAUAUGUCCUUUGACACAGUACCCUCACAGCAUGCACCCCUCAGACUCUCUGUGGCCCGAGUUUUACUUCUGUUUCCUCAGAGACACUGAGCAGAGAGGUCAAAGGGUCAUCGCCAUGACAGCAGGGGCAAGGACUCAACCUCUGACACAGGGUCUGUCUCUGAAAGCUCAGAGGAUGCUGUACGAGUCCAGGAUGAACACCCUGUCCGUUCCUGUCGUUUCAGCCAAUCACCAAUCAAGACACGCACUCAAAGAGCGAGGGACAGCCUAUAGACCGGGGCUUCGAGUGCAACAGGGACUUCAGGGCCCACCUGGUUUGACAGGGCCACCUGGACCAAAAGGGGAUAAAGGCUACGCUGGCGGGAUGGGCCAGACUGGACGGACAGGUUACCGAGGCCCCAUUGGUCCACCAGGGAUGCCCGCCAUCGUAGUGUUCAAGAGCUCUGAGGAAGAGUGGGAGACCUUCAAGAAAAAGACAUUCUACAAAAAGCUUGUUGCAACUUGGCCGGUAGGUGAUCUCAGCUCUAUAUCAGUAGUUUCUAGGCAGAAACAACUAGAAGAAUAUGUCCUUUAG
ensembl:lncRNA